CGAGACUUGUCAAGAUCCCGGUCUCGCUCGCCCUUCUAUAGGCGUAAACAUUCGCCAUCUCCUGUAGGGCAUAGGUAUGGAAGGAGGAGCAGAAGGGACAGAAGCCGGUCGCCAUAUUCAUCUUAUUCGUAUAGCAGGUGAUCCCGUUUAUAUUCAUGCUAUUUAGGUUCAUUUUGUUCACAUGCAAGAACUUGUAAGGAAUAUUGUAAGAAAGAUUGGGAACUCUGGAAUUUGUCUUGCGGAUUGGGAAUACAAUUUCUUCAAGUUUAUCUGUACGCAGCCUAUACUUAUUUGUAUAUAUUUUUGGUGCUUCUUCAACUUUACUGGAAAGAUUAUGUAGUUUGCUUGGUCUUUACAAUUAUGAUUCCGUUUUUAAAAUCGGAUCCUCGCCAAGAAUCUGGCAAGGAGUGGCAAUUAGAUUAGUUGAAGGUGCUGGUGCAGUUGAGGAUGUGGCGUUGGCAUUUUCUUGAUCAGUGCUUUCAGUUUCACUUUUAUUGCAGUUGAACCUUUUGGUUGUCUACAUUUGGGUAUGUGUGAUUUUUCUGUUUAGAAUGGCAUCAAUGCCAUGACUUUGUUGAGCAUCUUCAUGGUUAUAGAUUUAUGUUUAAUGGCCACCAUUCUGAGUAUGAAGUGUUGCUGAAUUAUUUCAAUAAAGUUUGAUGGUUGUAUUGCUCGACUUCUUCUAAAUUAUCAACAUCUCAGUGGGCACCUGACAUGUGAGGAACUUUCCUUUUGCUUGGAAAAAUGGAAAUAUGCUAAAUUCAAAUACAUUUGGAGCAAAAUAUAGAGAGUGAGAUAGGAUGCAUGCUCUUUGUUAGAACAUUAAAGACAGUUUCUUCCCAUCACUUGAGAUGGGAAGUGAGCAGGUGAUGGGUGCCGAUGGGUUCCUUUCGUUGCUCGAUUCUGACAUUAUCUUCUUCGUGUCAUAAAUGAUGGAGCUCAAUGCAUAUCUUAACAAUGUUUGAGAAGGAAGAGUCGUUCUAUUAGUCCACGACGCCGCAAAAGUCGUUCUCCAACCGCAAGACGUCAUAAAAGUCGUUCUCCAACUCCAAAGCAUUUUAAGAGGCAAAGAAGUAGGAGUUCUUCAUUGUCUCCUACUCAUAAAUCAUCUAGCCCAAGUCUUGGGUUGAUAGAGCGCAAAAAUGCUAGUGAGAAAUUGAAAAAACAAGAGGAAGAGAAGAAAAGGUAUAUAAGAUAUUCUCAUCUUUUUGCAGGCUAUUUUAAUUUUUCUUUUACAGUUCUUUGGGAUCUUCUUGAAGUGUUUCCAGUCUACUUAAGUUUUGCUACACACAUUUGAUUUUCUGGAAGGUGAUAUACUACUGGAUAGUUUUUGUGAUAAAAUUUGAUAUUUUGUUUACUGGGAUGAUGUAAUACAACUCGUAUGGGAAAUUGGGAAGAUAGAAAGUGAGGGUCUCAAGUGGGUUGUUAGGUCUUGCAGUAAUCAAAACUCAUCUUCAGGCCUUCAAUGUUAGUCUUGAUGGGCGAAGAGCAUUUGUUGCAUGUACACCAACCACUUUUGCCUUUUCCUUACCUCCAUUGCUACUUAGUUUUAUGGCAUUUUACCAAGCGUAGUUGAUAAGCUUGUUAUGCAGGACAUGCAAUCAUGCAUCUACAUAGAAAAGUACUAAGAAAGAGACCAGAGAGAGAUUAUUAAUGUGCUUACCAUUGUGGUCUUGGAGAACACAAAAGGAAAAAUGUCUGCACUGUCAUGCUUCUUAACUUUGUUGCUUUUGUUAUCUACAGUGGUUGCCAUUUAAUGUUUUGAGUUGAACCAGUAUUAUUGAGUUAUGGAAUUGAAUUGAAACUGAGCUGUAGCUUUGGUGGCAAGGCAGGGGAGUCAUGCCUAGUCAUGUUAGGUUUAAGUCCUGAUUUUAUUUUAAUGUCUUACUGGAAAAUAAUUGCAUUAAAAUUUGCCUAGAAUGGGUAUUUAAAGUGAUAUGCCUAGCCCAUUUUUUAUGGAAAAUGUCUUGUAAUACUUAGAACUUAUGGUCUUAUUAUGUCAGUUACUUUCAAAUCAAUUAGUUGAACCUGCAGGUGUAAAAUCUUAUUUUCUGUUUGUCCUUGACUAUUUAUGUUCAUGUGCUGUUCUUAUGUUCACAUGGAAAUUGGGUUUUCAUGUGUUUGGGCCACCCAUUUCAGUCAUAACUGUUAUCAAUUUCAUACAGUUUUACUUAAAUAUCAGCAAUAAGCAUUAACAUACAUUUUUAAUUGAAAGGAUUCUGAUGGUAUGAAUGUAUAAUGAAUCAAUUAGUGGCUGGGAUUAAGAGCUUAAUUGAUAAUUGAAGACCUUUUUUGGAAACAAUUGAUAAUUGAUAAUUGAAGACCUUACGAAAUUUAUUUACUUCCAGUGAAUUAUUAUCGUAGAACAAUAAGCAUUAUUAUUUAGUUGUUACCCUUGUUAUUCCUUUCAUUGCCUUGGUGCCUUUAUUCACCACUUAUAAAAUUUUGAUGAUGUCUAUAAAAAGAUGUAAACUUUUUUGUCGAAAAUGUAUUUUGGUGCAAGGUUUGAAGUAUUAUGGUGAUUAAUAAAAUUGCAGCAAGGUACUUGACAUUCUUCUCCACAGGAUUUUCUGAAGGAAGUUACUGCUAUAAUUCAACAUGUUAUAUUUGAUGAUCUGAUUGGAUGCACGUUUAUCUACUGUUCACCAGUUUUGAAACUCUUUUGUUUGGAUCAGGUUCGAUUAGAGGUAUGCCUUAAAAGCAUAGCAUAUUUUAGUGCCUUUGUCGUCAUGAAGGUUAGUUUGCCCAUUUAUUAUAGUUACAUAGUGAAUCCAGAAAGAUGGUGAUAGAAAGAAAAAAAAAAUGGGAAAAAGGAACAUGGCUUGUCAGCUGCUUUUUAUGUAGUGUUGUCUGGAUGGAAAGACCUCUAUAAUGAAAGGUUGCAGCAUUUUUCCCCAAAUGCAUUGGUGUCAUUUUCCUGCUUGACAUUUUCUUUUCUUUUCCCAGGCGUCAACAGGAAGCUGAAUUGAAAUUGAUAGAAGAAGAGACCACAAAGAGAGUGGAAGAGGCAAUUCAGAAAAAGGUGGAAGAGAGCUUGAACUCUGAGGAACUCAAGCAGGAAAUUCAGAGGCGAUUAGAGGAGGGAAGGA